rnacentral:lncRNA from 1 species
UUUUAUGAUAAAAGACAGUGCAUUGUACUUUACAACUCAUAACCAUGUUUAUAUUGAAGUAUUAAAUACAAGACGAUGGAAUUGGAGGCGGCAGGAUUCUACGCUAAAUUCUUUUAAAACUAGUUUAAAUGAUAAGAUUUUGUUUUUCAUUUUAAGCAUGUAAUUUGAUUUCUAUUAUAUUUCCUUCCUCUUAUAUCUUAAAGGUGAACCAAAAAUAAAUGUUUAACAAACCAACAUUUACACACCUAUAAGAAAUUAAGAGGUUU